AGAGUUUGAUCCUGGCUCAGGAUGAACGCUAGCGGCAGGCUUAACACAUGCAAGUCGAGGGGUAACAGGAGUAGCUUGCUAUUUGCUGACGACCGGCGCACGGGUGCGUAACGCGUAUAGAACCUACCUUUUACAAAGGAAUAGCCCAGAGAAAUUUGGAUUAAUACCUUAUAGUAUUAUUUAAUGGCAUCGUUAGAUAAUUAAAGAUUUAUUGGUAAGAGAUGGCUAUGCGUCCUAUUACAUAGUUGGAGAGGUAACGGCUCCCCAAGUCUACGAUAGGUAGGGGUCCUGAGAGGGAGACCCCCCACACUGGUACUGAGACACGGACCAGACUCCUACGGGAGGCAGCAGUGAGGAAUAUUGGACAAUGGAGGCAACUCUGAUCCAGCCAUGCCGCGUGCAGGAAGACGGCCCUAUGGGUUGUAAACUGCUUUUAUACAGGAAGAAACCUCCCGACGAGUCGGGAGCUGACGGUACUGUAAGAAUAAGCACCGGCUAACUCCGUGCCAGCAGCCGCGGUAAUACGGAGGGUGCAAGCGUUAUCCGGAAUCAUUGGGUUUAAAGGGUCCGUACGCGGAUAAUUAAGUCAGAGGUGAAAUCCCACAGCUUAAUGUGGCACUGCCUUUGAUACUGGUUAUCUUGAGUUACAGGGAAGUAGAUAGAAUAUGUAGUGUAGCGGUGAAAUGCAUAGAUAUUACAUAGAAUACCGAUUGCGAAGGCAGUCUACUAUCUGUAUACUGACGCUAAUGAACGAAAGCGUGGGGAGCGAACAGGAUUAGAUACCMUGGUAGUSCACGCCGUAAACGAUGGAUACUAGCUGUUGKACGUAAGUUCAGUGGCCAAGAGAAAGUGAUAAGUAUCCCACCUGGGGAGUACGUUCGCAAGAAUGAAACUCAAAGGAAUUGACGGGGGCCCGCACAAGCGGUGGAGCAUGUGGUUUAAUUCGAUGAUACGCGAGGAACCUUACCAGGGCUUAAAUGUAAGUUGCAUUAGUUAGAGAUACAUAUUUCUUCGGACUACUUACAAGGUGCUGCAUGGUUGUCGUCAGCUCGUGCCGUGAGGUGUCAGGUUAAGUCCUAUAACGAGCGCAACCCCUAUUGUUAGCUGUUAACAGGUUAAGCUGAGGACUCUAAUGAGACGACUGGUGCAAACCGAGAGGAAGGUGGGGAUGACGUCAAAUCAUCACGGCCCUUACGUCUUGGGCUACACACGUGCUACAAUGGUCGGUACAGAGGGCAGUUACCUGGUGACAGGAUAAGAAUCUCAAAAACCGAUCUCAGUUCGGAUCGGAGUCUGCAACUCGACUCCGCGAAGCUGGAAUCGCUCGUAAUCGCAUAUCAGCCAUGAUGCGGUGAAUACGUUCCCGGCCCUCGUACACCCCGCCCGUCAAGCCAUGGAAGCUGGGGGUACUUGAAGUCGGUCGCCGCAAGGACCCGCCUAGGGUAAACCUGGUAAUUUGGAUUAAGUCCUAACAAGGUAACC
rnacentral:rRNA from 1 species